rnacentral:misc_RNA from 1 species
AACGCACGAGACCUGCGGACCUGCGGAAGGAUCAUUAUCAAUUUACAGCGGACUUCGGUCCUGUCUGCACCCUUGUCUUUUGCGUACUAUAUGUUUCCUCGGUGGGCUUGCCUGCCGAUAGGACACUUAUAAACUCUUUUGUAAUUGCAAUCAGCGUCAGAAAACUAUAAUAGUUACAACUUUCAACAACGGAUCUCU